rnacentral:rRNA from 1 species
UACGAAGGGGGCUAGCGUUGUUCGGAAUUACUGGGCGUAAAGCGUUUGUAGGCGGUUAUUUAAGCCAGUGGUGAAAGCCCGGGGCUUAACCCCGGAAUUGCCAUUGGUACUGGAUAGCUAGAGAAUGUUAGAGGAAAGUGGAAUUCCUAGUGUAGGAGUGAAAUCCGUAGAGAAUUAGGAGGAAUAUCGAUGGCGAAGGCAGCUUUCUGGGACAUUCUGACGCUUGAGAAACGAAAGCGUGGGUAGCAAACAGG